ACCUGCCCAUUGGAAUCUAAAAGGCCGCGGUAUUAUGACCGUGUAAGGUAGCAUAAUCAUUAGUCUUUUAAUUGAAGGCUGGUAUGAAUGGUUGGACAAGAAAUAAGCUGUCUUAAAUAAAAAUAUUGAAUUUAACUUUUAAGUGAAAAGGCUUAAAUUUUCUAAGGGGACGAUAAGACCCUAUAAAACUUUAUAUUUUAAAAUAAUAAUUAAUUUUAUAUAGAGGAUUUAUUUUUAAAUAUUUUAUUGGGGUGAUAAAGAUAAAAUGUAAGAUAACUGUCUUUUUUUUUUACAAGUAAUAUUUGAGUAAAAGAUCUUAACAAAGGAAAUAAGAGAUUAAGUUACUUUAGGGAUAACAGCGUAAUUUUCUUUAAGAGUUCUUAUCGACAAGAAAGUUUGCGACCUCGAUGUUGAAUUAAAAGUUCUUUAUAGAGUAGAUAUUAUAAUAGAGGGUCUGUUCGACCCUUAAAAUUUUACGUG
rnacentral:rRNA from 1 species